GCCUUGGUGGUUCAGUGGUAGAAUUCUUGCCUCUCAUGCACAAGACCUGGGUUCGAUUCCCAGCCAGUGCA
rnacentral:tRNA from 1 species